AUCAGUUAUCUUCCAGUCCUGCCACCCUUGCAUCCAACAACCGCAACACUCGAUUCGCGGCCGUUCAAGUUUCGAACAUCACCGAUUCCUGCGAUUUUCCGUACCUGGUGACUCGGUCAGCUAGUAGCGUCAGUUAUCUUCCAGCCCUGCCACCUUUGCAUCCAACAACCGCAACACACGACUCGCGGCCGUUCAUGUUUCGGGCCUCGAACAUCACCGAUCAGCGAUUCCUGCGACUUCCCGUACCUGGUGACUCGGUCAGCUAGUAGCCUCAGGUAUCUUCCAGUCCGUCGACAAUUACAGUCCUGCCACCCCUGCAUCCAACAACCGCAACACUCGAUUCGCGGCCGUUCAAGUUUUGAACAUCACCGAUUCCUGCGAUCUCCCGUACCUGGUGACUCGGUCAGCUGGUAGCAUCAGUUAUCUUCCAGGUAACAUGAUUAGUAUAUGUCUGGCCGAAGCCAGUGAUACUGCGCCCGUUUAAGUUCGUUUACAAUUACAGCCCUCCCACCUUCUGUCUACACCAACCCCAUCAUUCAAAUGUUUCGAGGUCCAGGAUAACGAGCGCGAUAAAUCCGUGCUACCAAAUCAGCUAACAUCAACAGCAUUCCGUCACAUUGAUACCAGUUGUUACUGAGGCUUUAUUGGAACUGAUGUCCUGGUCUGCGUCUGGUCAACGUUUCUACGACAAUUUCAUUGUGACUGCGCCGUGACCUCCUGUAUACAAAGUUUUUCCGAUGUGAUGCUAAGCUGCCGCUAUUGAUCUAGGAAUGCUUACUAACCAAAUCCAUGAUGAAUUAAAGCGAUUAUUGUACGUGAUAUACUAAUAUUAGCCAAUAAGUUGUAAAUUUUCUGUUAAUUAAUUUAAUUACACUUCCUUUAAAGAGAAUAACUUCUCACUGGAAGUGUAAAUACUUUGUACUUUUUUGAAAUAUAUGAAAAGAAGAGUA